rnacentral:lncRNA from 1 species
GGCAACGAUGCAUGGGCUUUCAACGACCGCACGUGGGCUACUUUUAGCGAAGUUCGAACUAACAGUUUGCUUCAGAAGGCAUGGAUUUUCAGCUUUGAGCGCUAUGGUGAAAUUUAGACGAUUUAGACCUUGCACAUUCAGAGUUGACUUUUGCUUGAUUGGUUGCUGCAAUUGCUGGAGGUUUUAACGCAAAUAGUUGUGGCAUUAAAGUAAUGAAUUUGUACCUGUCCUUGUUUAUGGCUCCCGUAUAUGGUCAGCCAGGUAUCUUUUUUUUUUUUUUUUUCCUUUUAUUAUUGCAAUUAUUUAUAUCAUAUAGGGUAACAAUUUCCUUUACACAUUAGAAGUCAUUGUGUGGGGUAACAUUAGAAUUGGUGUAGGUAUCAUUACCUGUUGCUAGAUCUCGGAAUUAUUUGUUAACUAUUUCAUUGUGAAUUUCUUAUUAAUUAAUUUUUUUUCAUUAUUAGAAUUGCAUUUGACUAUUCUAUAUGAACUAUGUUAGCACUUUACUUGUGAUCGUGGUUUGUUGUAUUUUGUACAUUUUUUGUGAAAUGACAACAUAUUUUGAGUUGUGUUUUUCUAAUGGAAAAGACGUAAUUUUUCAAUUAGGCAAAAGAAAAAGUUUUUAUAUAAUUAUUGAUGACAAAUGUAGGUCUAAGACAAGUGUGAAAAGUAGAAAUGUUUUUUAACUGCAGUAUUUUGAACAUAUUGAAAGAGAUUGUCCUAGGAAGAAUAUUUGGAGGGAAUAUGAGGAGAGAUGUGAUCCGAAUGUUACCAAUGGGUCCAAUUAUGAUACUGUGAAGUUUAUUGAGAGUAAACACGAUUACUGCAUUUGCGUCUAUGUUUGGUAUUAUUCUUAGUCCACUUUGUCUUGGUCCAUUUAAGGAUAAAUUAGGCCCAUAUAAGUGACCUAAUGUGUUUGCAUGUAUAUCCAACCUUGCUUGUAGCCAUGUGUAGAUAUGUAUUGUACAAGAUAGUGGAUAGAAAAG